UGAACGCUAGCGACAGGCUUAACACAUGCAAGUCGAGGGGCAGCGAGGGCGUAGCAAUACUCUGGCGGCGACCGGCGGAAGGGUGCGUAACACGUGAGCGACUUGCCCGUCACAGGGAGAUAACCGCUGGAAACGGCGACUAAUAUCCCAUAUGAUGGCGAUCUGCAUGGAUUGUCAUUGAAAGAUUCAUCGGUGACGGAUAGGCUCGCGGGGCAUUAGCUAGACGGCGGGGCAACGGCCCACCGUGGCGACGAUGCCUAGGGGUUCUGAGAGGAAGACCCCCCACACUGGGACUGAGACACGGCCCAGACUCCUACGGGAGGCAGCAGUGAGGAAUAUUGGUCAAUGGGCGGAAGCCUGAACCAGCCAUGCCGCGUGAAGGACUAAGGCCCUAUGGGUCGUAAACUUCUUUAGACGCAGAGCAAUAAGGGUCUCGUGAGAUCCGAUGAGAGUAUGCGUAGAAUAAGCAUCGGCUAACUCCGUG
rnacentral:rRNA from 1 species